CAAUUGCCGGAUGAAUGCGGCCAGGCCGCUCUUAUCCGGCCUACAGGUGAGGAAAGUCCGGGCUUCACAGGGCAGGAUGCCGGAUAACGUCCGGUGGAGGUGACUCCAAGGAAAGUGCAACAGAAAUAAACCGCCGCAACUAUGCGGUAAGGGUGGAAAGGCAGUGUAAGAGACUACCGCCUGCACGGUAACGGGCAGGGCACAUGUAAACCCCAUCCGAAGCAAGACCAAAUAGAAAGCGUUUUAAGUCUGCCCGGCGAGCUUUCAGGUAGGUCGCUUGAGACUACUGGCAACAGUAGUACCAGACAGAUGAUCAUUCACGACAUAACCCGGCUUAUCGUCCUGCUUGAUUU
rnacentral:RNase_P_RNA from 1 species